GGUUAUUUGCGAGAAUCAAGACAACACAGUUCUGGAAACCUGAAGAAAAAGCAUGAUGACGGCCUCACGGAGCCCAUGCUCGCUACCUUUCUUCAAAUAAUGAAGUCAGUAGGGGCUAUUAUGAUUAAUGAGACCGUCAUCGGCACUGGGUUUCGAGUUGGAACAAAGUACAUAGCAACCACAUGGCACAUUGUAUCAGAAAUAAUAGAUCAAAGAAGACGUUGUGAGAAAAUUAUGGAUAAUUUGACAAAAGCUUACAUAGUCUUCAGUGACUCAUCAACUGAUUCGAAGAAGUACUAUUUUACAUCUGAAAUCCAUUUCUAAUGUAUACUUGGAUGUGGCCAUACUUGAGGUGUCAGAGACAGAGUUAACACUUCCAAAUAAACUUAUUCUAAGAAAGGAACCUUUGAUUCCAGCCGAUGCAAAUACAGUGUCAGUGAUUGGAUACGGGCAUCCGAAAAAUCACAAAAAACAUCUUGAGUACAGAUGUCCUAUAAUUCACACAGACUCCAACAAAAUCAAAGAUGCCCAAGACAAUCUGAAGAACAAUAAAGCCAGGUUUAAGCACGGUCUCUUGCAUGGAGUUCAAUUUUCAGUUGUUGACAUUGGUUAUAAAGAUUUUGAUGCACCGCAUAAGAUUCUGCUGCAUAUGUUUUUGGAGAAUGGCGCAUCGGGCUCGCCAAUUUUGGCAUGCGUUAAUCCCUCGGCUAAUAUUUUAGAAGUUGUAGGGGUUGUGACUCAUGGUUUACCGGAAUUUUACUUCCAUUUAAAAGAAGAUUCCAAAUGGUUAAUUCCACAUAAGUAUAGAUUCGAAGCGGGAACCAAAAUUUCACAUAUUUACAAACAAAUGAUAGAACAACACAGUAACUUAGCAUUAGACCUGUUUGAUUAAAUACAAUAAGU